rnacentral:rRNA from 1 species
AGUGGCGCACGGGUGAGUAACGCGUGGGAACCUGCCCUGAGGUUCGGAAUAACGAUUGGAAACGAUCGCUAAUACCGGAUGAGCCCUGAGGGGGAAAGAUUUAUCGCCUUGGGAGGGGCCCGCGUCCGAUUAGCUUGUUGGUGUGGUAACGGCGCACCAAGGCUUCGAUCGGUAGCUGGUCUGAGAGGAUGAUCAGCCACACUGGGACUGAGACACGGCCCAGACUCCUACGGGAGGCAGCAGUGGGGAAUAUUGGACAAUGGGGGCAACCCUGAUCCAGCAAUGCCGCGUGUGUGAAGAAGGCCUUAGGGUUGUAAAGCACUUUCAGUCGUGACGAUGGUGACGGUAACGACAGAAGAAGCCCCGGCUAACUCCGUGCCAGCAGCCGCGGUAAUACGGAGGGGGCAAGCGUUGUUCGGAAUUACUGGGCGUAAAGG